rnacentral:rRNA from 1 species
AGUGGCGAACGGGUGAGUAAUACAUCGGAACGUGCCCUGUAGUGGGGGAUAACUAGUCGAAAGAUUAGCUAAUACCGCAUACGACCUGAGGGUGAAAGUGGGGGACCGCAAGGCCUCAUGCUAUAGGAGCGGCCGAUGUCUGAUUAGCUAGUUGGUGAGGUAAAGGCUCACCAAGGCGACGAUCAGUAGCUGGUCUGAGAGGACGAUCAGCCACACUGGGACUGAGACACGGCCCAGACUCCUACGGGAGGCAGCAGUGGGGAAUUUUGGACAAUGGGCGAAAGCCUGAUCCAGCAAUGCCGCGUGUGUGAAGAAGGCCUUCGGGUUGUAAAGCACUUUUGUCCGGAAAGAAAUGGCUCUGGUUAAUACCUGGGGUCGAUGACGGUACCGGAAGAAUAAGGACCGGCUAACUACGUGCCAGCAGCCGCGGUAAUACGUAGGGUCCAAGCGUUAAUCGGAAUUACUGGGCGUAAAGCGUGCGCAGGCGGUUGUGCAAGACCGAUGUGAAAUCCCCGAGCUUAACUUGGGAAUUGCAUUGGUGACUGCACGGCUAGAGUGUGUCAGAGGGGGGUAGAAUUCCACGUGUAGCAGUGAAAUGCGUAGAGAUGUGGAGGAAUACCGAUGGCGAAGGCAGCCCCCUGGGAUAACACUGACGCUCAUGCACGA